rnacentral:rRNA from 1 species
UACGUAGGGGGCAAGCGUUGUCCGGAAUCAUUGGGCGUAAAGCGCGUGUAGGCGGCUCGGUAAGUCUGCUGUGAAAGUCCAGGGCUCAACCCUGGGAUGCCGGUGGAUACUGUCGAGCUCGAGUCCGGAAGAGGCGAGUGGAAUUCCUGGUGUAGCGGUGAAAUGCGCAGAUAUCAGGAGGAACACCAAUGGCGAAGGCAGCUCGCUGGGACGUGAACUGACGCUGAGACGCGAAAGCGUGGGGAGCAAACAGG